rnacentral:rRNA from 1 species
CCUCGACUUCGGAAGGGGUGUAUUUAUUAGAUAAAAAACCAAUGCCCUUCGGGGCUCCUUGGUGAUUCAUAAUAACUUAACGAAUCGCAUGGCCUUGCGCCGGCGAUGGUUCAUUCAAAUUUCUGCCCUAUCAACUUUCGAUGGUAAGAUAGUGGCUUACCAUGGUCUCAACGGGUAACGGGGAAUUAGGGUUCUAUUCCGGAGAGGGAGCCUGAGAAACGGCUACCACAUCCAAGGAAGGCAGCAGGCGCGCAAAUUACCCAAUCCCAAUUCGGGGAGGUAGUGACAAUAAAUACUGAUACGGGGCUCUUUCGGGUCUCGUAAUUGGAAUGAGUACAAUCUAAAUCCCUUAACGAGGAACAAUUGGAGGGCAAGUCUGGUGCCAGCAGCCGCGGUAAUUCCAGCUCCAAUAGCGUAUAUUAAAGUUGUUGCCGUUAAAAAGCUCGUAGUUGAACCUUGGACCUGGCUGAUCUGUCCUCCUAAUCGAGCGCACGGAUUCGGUCGGGUCUUUCCUUCUGGGGAGCCCUAUGCCCUUCACUGGGUGUAGUGGGGAACCAGGACUUUUACCUUGAAAAAAUUAGAGUGUUCAAAGCAGGCCUUUGCUCGAAUACAUUAGCAUGGAAUAAUAGAAUAGGACAUCGGUUCUAUUUUGUUGGUUUCUAGGACCGCUGUAAUGAUUAAUAGGGAUAGUCGGGGGCGUCAGUAUUCAAUUGUCAGAGGUGAAAUUCUUGGAUUUAUUGAAGACUAACUACUGCGAAAGCAUUCGCCAAGGAUGUUUUCAUUAAUCAGUGAACGAAAGUUAGGGGAUCGAAGACGAUCAGAUACCGUCGUAGUCUUAACCAUAAACUAUGCCGACUAGGGAUCGGACGGUGGUUUUUUUAUGCCCCGUUCGGCACCUUACGAGAAAUCAAAGUUUUUGG